rnacentral:snRNA from 1 species
GCUCACUUGAGUGGCAUAUACUGAAAAUGGAACAAUGCAAAGACUGGCAUGGCUGCUGUGAAUUGAUGACACACAAAUCAGGGAAGUGUUCCAUAUUUUU